rnacentral:misc_RNA from 1 species
AAGUCGUAACAAGGUUUCCGUAGGUGAACCUGCGGAAGGAUCAUCAACAGAAGGGAAAAGGCGUGGGUUUUCUCCACGAACCGUUCCCGAAUCCUGUAUUCACCCCAAGUUCCUUAAAAAUUUCAAUAAAAAACUCAUUGCAAAAGACCACCUUCGUUUCGGUGGCGUCUAAUGCACUUAGCGAAAACUUUCAACAACGGAUCUCUUGGCUCUC